rnacentral:misc_RNA from 1 species
GGACCUUCUUCUCCACGAAUUUCAUCCGGCAAUUUUCUUACAAAUCCUCUGAAUCCUUCCUUCAACCUCCCCGGCAGCAAAUUUUCCACUUUUUCGAUCUCCUCCACGAUCGGAUAUUCAAUUCUCGGGCCCCAUUCCCUGGUGUAAUUCAGCCACGGCGGCUCCACCACCACCUCCGCCAAAUACUCCGCCGCAACUACAGAGUAGUUCGCUCCG